AGCUCCGGCCCUAUCAGCCUGAAGGCGCCCGAUCUCGUCUAAUCUCGGAAGCUAAGCAGGGUCGGGCCUGGUUAGUAUCUUGGAUGGGAGACCACCUGGGAAUCCCGGGUGCUCGAGGCUU
rnacentral:rRNA from 1 species